GCAAGUCGAACGAUGAAGCCCAGCUUGCUGGGUGGAUUAGUGGCGAACGGGUGAGUAACACGUGAGUAACCUGCCCUUAACUCUGGGAUAAGCCUGGGAAACUGGGUCUAAUACCGGAUAGGAGCGUCCGCUGCAUGGUGGGUGUUGGAAAGAUUGAUCGGUUUUGGAUGGACUCGCGGCCUAUCAGCUUGUUGGUGAGGUAAUGGCUUACCAAGGCUACGACGGAUAGCCGGCCUGAGAGGGUGACC
rnacentral:rRNA from 1 species